rnacentral:rRNA from 1 species
ACCGCUAUUGGGGUUCGAUUAAGACAUGCGAGUCGUGAGGGUUCGGCCCUCGGCGGACUGCUCAGUAACACGUGGAUAACCUGCCCUCAAGUGGGGGAUAAUCUCGGGAAACUGAGGAUAAUACCCCAUAGGCCAUUGAUGCUGGAAUGCUCUCUGGCCGAAAGCUCCGGCGCCCGAGGAUGGGUCUGCGGCCUAUCAGGUAGUAGUUGGGGUAACGGCCCAACUAGCCUGCGACGGGUACGGGCCUUGAGAGAGGGAGCCCGGAGAUGGACUCUGAGACACUAGUCCAGGCCCUACGGGGCGCAGCAGUCGCGAAAACUUCACACUGCGGUAACCCGUGAUGAGGGAACCCCAAGUGCCUGGGCAUUAGCUCAGGCUGUUCACCUGUCUAAAAAACAGGUGGAGUAAGGGCUGGGUAAGACCGGUGCCAGCCGCCGCGGUAAUACCGGCAGCCCAAGUGGUGACCAUUUUUAUUGAGCCUAAAACGUCCGUAGCCGGUCCGGCAAAUCCCUGGGCAAAUCGGGCAGCUCAACUGUUCGACUUCCAGGGAGACUACCGGACUAGGGACCGGGA